CCUACGGGAGGCAGCAGUGGGGAAUAUUGCGCAAUGGGGGAAACCCUGACGCAGCAACGCCGCGUGAGUGAGGAAGGACUUCGGUCUGUAAAGCUCUGUUAAUGAGGAAAAAAUGGUAGUUGGUCUAAUAGGCCGAUUAUUUGAUGGUACUCAUAGAGGAAGCACCGGCUAACUUCGUGCCAGCAGCCGCGGUAAUACGAAGGGUGCAAGCGUUGUUCGGAUUUAUUGGGCGUAAAGCGCGCGUAGGCGGACCUGCAAGUAAGAUGUGAAAUCUCGAGGCUCAACCUCGAAACUGCGUCUUAAACUACAGGUCUAGAAUCUCGGAGGGGGAAGGGGAAUUUCGCAUGUAGGGGUAAAAUCCGUAGAUAUGCGAAGGAACACCAGAGGCGAAGGCGCCUUCCUGGACGAGUAUUGACGCUGAGGCGCGAAAGCGUGGGGAUCAAACAGGAUUAGAUACCCUGGUAGUCCACGCUGUAAACGAUGAACACUAGGUAUUGGAGGAUUUGACCCCUUCAGUGCCGUAGCUAACGCGUUAAGNGUUCCGCCUGGGAAGUACGGUCGCAAGAACUAAACUCAAAGAGUAGUUAGNGNGNGAGNGCGACGACGACGACGACGGAGGAGGAG
rnacentral:rRNA from 1 species